ACGCCUCGUCCUCUCCUCUCCUCUUCCUCCAUGGUCGAGCUCAAGCUCGCCUUCCCGUCGCCGUACACCACUGCGGGAGGCGUCCGCCUCCGUCUCCUGGUCAGUCCCGGCCUCCAUUGUUCCCCGCGCUGGACAGAGUUGGGCGCAGCGGCGUCGGGCGAAGGAGUGCAAGCCGCGGGGCGACUCCGCCGCCAUGGAGGCGCCGGAGGAGGUGGUCGAGCGGGGGGCUCGGGAUGUGGCGACGGAGGAGGACGGGAUGUGAGCCAAGGAGGAUGUACGUUGCCUGCUCAGGGGACGCUCAGCGGCUGGUGGCGCUGCUCACUCCUCCUCACAUCCUUGUCUGACCCGGUGCCUUUCCUGCAUCUCCUUGCUUACUCGCCAGACAUCCCAUGGUAACUCCUGGUAUUUGUUGGUUGCAAUUCCUCUGACAGUUACAACACAUGGCAAUGAUACCUCUGCACAUUGUCGAAUAAAAAAUAUAGAGAUGAUAUUCAUUGACGCCAGGCUUCAAAAUUCAGCUCUUUUAUUUCUGCCAUGGUGUACCUUUCUGCUUGGUUCAGUUUUGCCUGAUCUACUUCCAGAUGUAUACUACACUUAGUUUGUUCAUGCAUUAGAAGCAGGCUUUCAGCAAUGGAAUAGCGGGUGGAUGAGAAGCUCCACAACCUGCACAUUGUGAUGGAGAAUCACUGCUGAAGGUGAUAUUGCAUGCUAAAGGUGAUAUUGCAGGCACCAUCAUGGCCACAUCGAAGGUCCUAAGCUCUAGGUGAUGGAGAAUCACUGCUGAAGGUGAUAUUGCAUGCUAAAGGUGAUAUUGCAGGCACCAUCAUGGCCACAUCGAAGGUCCUAAGCUCUAGGUGAGAAGAACGCAAAUAACUCUACACUGCAGGAUAAGAUGGAACAACAAGCUGGGUUUUUUUUUUCCGUCGCUGAACAGCCACCAUGUUGCAGGAGAUUAUCAACUCACUUUUUGUUUACAGGAAAAUUUAUUGACACUCAAGAGUCAAGACAAAUGCAACAAAUUUUUGAAGUUGUGUUCUACCACUUCCCACAAUAAAUAAAAGAAAUUAUAGAAAGAAGUUUGCAGCUGUAGGGGCGAUGUCUUUCAGGUUGUGUGGAAUCCAAAUUUGGAGACUGUUGGCCUUCCAUGCUGCGGACAAAAGGGUGAUGAGAUGGGACGUUAGUAGGAGGUACUGCAGAUAUCUAUCCAUGUAGCUCGAUGAAUUGUGGUACUUAGUUAACAGCGACACCCAUCAGUUAGGUUAUAAAAUCCUUAGUUAUUGGAGCCAUUCAUAUGCGUUUAUCAGCGCAGGAAGGAAGAAGGUUUUCUUGUGUUA